rnacentral:Y_RNA from 1 species
GGUGUUUACAAUUAAUGUGGUAUUUACAAUUGAGCACAGCCAAUUACAGAUUUCUUUGUUCCUUCUCCUCUUCCACUGCUUCACUUGAUUGGCCUGCU